GUGGCCCUCGCCUGCAGUAUUAACGCCCAAGGAACCCAAUGGUAGAAGGUUCACCAGCAACAUCUGAGCUCCUCUCAGAUGGAUAGCUACCUCUCUCCACCAGGCACCUCAACCGAGCUUCAGUCGACAGGCCUGGACUCCCUGGUAGGCCACAGUAAUGGCCACGACUCUGCUCCACUUCCUGCAAUGGAUAAUGCACGGCUCCUCCACUCCCUGGU
rnacentral:lncRNA from 1 species